rnacentral:rRNA from 1 species
CCCUUAGAUGUUCUGGGCCCCACGCGUGCUACACUGAGUGGAUCAGCGGGUCAGGUUGCGCGAAAGCGUUUCCUAAUCUUUAAAUCCGCUCGUGAUGGGGAUUGACGGUUGCAAUUUUCUGUCAUGAACGAGGAAUACCUUGUAAGCGCGGGUCAUCAUCCCGCGCUGAAUACGUCCCUGCCCUUUGUACACACCGCCCGUCGCUCCUACCGAUUGAGUGGUCCGGUGAGGCUUUGGGAUCUGAGCGGAAAGAGCGUUUCGCUGUUUCUGCUCGGAAAACUCAGUCGAACCUUAUCAUUUAGAGGAAGGAGAAGUCGUAACA